UGCGUAGGCGGGCUAAUAAGUCAGUGGUGAAAUCUCUCGGCUCAACCGGGAAACUGCCAUUGAUACUGUUAGUCUUGAGUUCGGUUGAGGUAGGCGGAAUGUGUAAUGUAGCGGUGAAAUGCUUAGAUAUUACACAGAACACCAAUUGCGUAGGCAGCUUACUAGACCGUAACUGACGCUGAGGCACGAAAGCGUGGGGAGCGAACAGGAUUAGAUACCCUGGUAGUCC
rnacentral:rRNA from 1 species